rnacentral:rRNA from 1 species
ACACGGACCAAGGAGCCUAACGUGUACGCAAGUCUCUUAGAUUUAAAAAGCUAAGUGGCAUAACGAAAGCAAGUAAUGUUAUUAUGUACAAUUUUAACAUGGUUACGAUGUUCGGUUUGAAAAGACUGAAUAGCAGUAACAAUGCGGUUUGUAUAAGCCGUAUUAGAGCGUAUACGGUAGUACCCGAAAGAUGGUGAACUAUGCUUGAGCAAGGUGAAGCCAAAGGAAACUUUGGUGGAGGCCUGCAGCAGUUUUGACGUGCAAAUCAAUUGUCAGACUUGAGUAUAGCGGCGAAAGACUAAUCGAACCAUCUAGUAGCUGGUUUCCUCCGAAAUUUCCCGCAGGAUAGCAAGCAUCGUAUAUACCAUUUAAACCUGUUACAGUCUCAAUAGAAGGUAACGGGGCGUUAAUUGACCUUGUCCUUUUCUUAAACUCGGUCAAUGGGUUUUUUUGAUUACAUGCUAACUGCAUGUAAAUUAAAGUUUAAUGGUGGUGCUUAGUGGGCCAUUUUUGGUAAGCAGAACUGGCGAUGCGGGAUGAACCGUACACAGAGUUAAGGUGCCAAAGUUUAAUACGCUAAUCAGAUCCCACUAAAGAUGUUGUUCGCUUAAGACAGUAGGGCGGUGGCCAUGGAAGUCGGCAUCCGCUAAGGAGUGUGUAACAACUCACCUACCGAAGCGUUCAACUCUGAAAAUGGAUGGCGCUUAAGCGUUACACUGAUACUCUGUCGUAGUAGUAAUUCCAUAAUAAUACAUAAUUUAAAACCGAACGUUUUAAAGUGUAUAUUAAACUUCUACGAGUAGGAGGAAUGUGAUGACAGUGUUGAAGUUUUGAGCGUAAGCUCGAAUGGAACUGUUGUUAGUACAGAUCUUGGUGGUAGUAGCAAACAAACAAGUGACAACCUUGUUGACCGACGUGGAUAAGGGUUCCAUGGGAACAGUAAUUGGCCAUGGGUUAGUCGAUCCUGAGAAGUGACGUGAAAACGUUUUCGUAAGAAGCAUUUCUUGUAAAUGCACUUCGAAAGGGAAUGAGAUUAAUAUUUCUCAACCAUGUUCAUGCAAUUUAAGCGGUAACGCAAUCGAACUCAGAGACAUCUGCCAAAUUCCUGGAUAGAGAUAUCUUCUCUAUUUUAAGGUGUGCUGAAGUGCCUUGAAUCAGUUUAGCUGGAGACAGGCAUAUAUGCACCGAAUAGCAUUGCGCUUCAAGUAAUGUAAACAGUGUAUUUUGGUUGAUCCUUGAAAAUCUGGGUUAGUAUUUUAAGGCAUGACAUGAUCGUACCUAGCUCCGCAACAGGUAUCCUAGGUGAACAGCCUCUGGUCUAUUAGAAGAAUGUAGGUAAGGGAAGUCGGCAAACCUGAUCUGUAUCUUUGGUACAAAGGUUGGCUCUGGCGUGUUUGCUUGAUUUGCUUUGACAAGUAAAUUGGAAUAGAUUACUUGGACUGGUUGUGGUAACAUGACUGGCACUUGUUUUCAGUUCUUAUUGAAAGUUUUAGUGAGUCUUGCAAUUAAAACAAUUAGUCAGAACUAUCAUUGACUGUUCGGAAUCUGACUGUUUAAUUAAAACAUAGCAUUGAGAUGACCGGUGACCCGGUGUUGACUCAAUGUGAAUUCUGCCCAGUGCUCUGAAUGUCAACGUGUAGAAAUUCAAUGAAGCGCGGGUAAACGGCGGGAGUAACUAUGACUCUCUUAAGGUAGCCAAAUGCCUCGUCAUCUAAUUAGUGACGUGCAUGAAUGGAUUAACGAGAUUCCAUCUGUCCCUACUUACUAUCUAGCU